GGAGACUCCCAAACACAGCCUGAUAUUAAACGUCCUUCCUGAGACCCUGGAAGUAGGAUUCAGUUGCCUGAAUGCAGUGCCACUGAAUACGGCCUUGUGACUUUUCAAAUAGUCUAAGAUGGCUGGGAGGCAUGAACAAGGAAUGUGUACCCUUGUACAGCAGUAGCCACAGGGAAUAGGACGUCCUUGCAGAGGGCACUGGGUGUUUGUGUUCAUGUAGUUGUACCCCACUCCUGCUGCUGCUAGGGGAGAAUAGCAGGAAUCUGAGUUUGGUAUUGUAAAUGUAACCCUGGAGGAGCUUGCUUUCCUCCAUUGGCCUUAGAGAGCACCUGUUCUUCCAACUCAUGUGGCUGAGUUGCAGCUGAGUUGGAGACAAAUUUUGUGUCUAUUCACUGUUGCUGUGGAGCUGACCACUUGAGAGAAGACAACAAACUUAGAACUUCCUGAUGGCUACUGCUGUGAAACCAAGCCAACCACAGCAUUGCCUUAGAUCACUUUUACUCACUUUGUCCCUCUGUCCCAUUGACAGUGGAAGAAGAAUUCAAGUGUCUGGAAUGAGGAGCUUUCUCUUUAGGUUGCAAUGUAUGUAGGAGGUUAUUGUGAGAGAGACAAGACUUGACGGACACCAACUUGAGGUUCUGCUGCCUCUACUGGUAUCAUAUCCCAGGAAGCUUUUUCCAGGUGAGUCCACGGAUAUAUUUACCAUGGCAUUUACUCAAACAAAACGGACUGGGUUGCCCAGGGAAGUGACAAUAAUCAUUGGCCCUGGGGGUGUUCAAGGAAAGGUUGGACAUGGUGCUUAGGGACAUGGUUUAGUGGGUGACAUUGGUAGUAGGGUGAUGCUUGGACCAGAUGAUCUUGAAGGUCUUUCCAACUUUAAAGGUUCUAUGAUUCUAUGAAAAACCUGCCCAACAUAGCGCUGUACACAAAAGCUUUGCAUUUUGUCUCCCUGCGAGCAGGGGUCUUACUACCUUGCUGAAAUUACCCAUAGCCAUCUUCUGGACACUAUUUUGGAUUUAUUGCAUGAUCAAGGCCCAGUCUCAAAGGUGAAUUCCUGCCAAUCUUCAGCAUUGUACAAGAAAUAGAUCUCUUUCAUGUGUAACCUCCUGAG
rnacentral:lncRNA from 1 species